rnacentral:ncRNA from 1 species
CGGGAUCACGAUCCCAUGGAUGUGGCGUAAAGCUGAACAGAUAG